rnacentral:rRNA from 1 species
CAGCAGCCGCGGUAAUACGUAGGGUGCAAGCGUUAAUCGGAAUUACUGGGCGUAAAGCGUGCGCAGGCGGUUAUAUAAGACAGAUGUGAAAUCCCCGGGCUCAACCUGGGAACUGCAUUUGUGACUGUAUAGCUAGAGUACGGCAGAGGGGGAUGGAAUUCCGCGUGUAGCAGUGAAAUGCGUAGAUAUGCGGAGGAACACCGAUGGCGAAGGCAAUCCCGUGGGCCUGUACUGACGCUCAUGCACGAAAGCGUGGGGAGCAAACAGGAUUAGAUACCCCCGUAGUCCCUGUCUCUUAUAC